rnacentral:tRNA from 1 species
AGGGAUGUAGCUCAGUGGUAGAGUGCUUGCCUAGCAUGCAUGAGGCCCAGGGCCCUUGGUUCCAUCCCCA